rnacentral:rRNA from 1 species
UUUCCUACGGGGCGCAGCAGUGAGGAAUAUUGGUCAAUAGGCGGGAGCCUGAACCAGCCAAGUCGCGUGAGGGAAGACGGUCCUAUGGAUUGUAAACCUCCUUAGGCGGGGAGCAAUGCCGGGCACGUGUGCCCGGAGGGAGAGUACCCGCAGAAUAAGCAUCGGCUAACUCCGUGCCAGCAGCCGCGGUAAUACGGAGGAUGCGAGCGUUAUCCGGUUUUAUUGGGUUUAAAGGGUGCGUAGGCGGAUUUUUAAGUCAGCGGUAAAAACCCGGGGC